UACGGAGGGGGCUAGCGUUGUUCGGAAUUACUGGGCGUAAAGCGCACGUAGGCGGCUUUGUAAGUUAGAGGUGAAAGCCCCAGGGCUUAACCCUGGAAUUGCCUUUAAGACUGCAUCGCUAGAAUCGUGGAGAGGUGAGUGGAAUUCCGAGUGUAGAGGUGAAAUUCGUAGAUAUUCGGAAGAACACCGGUGGCGAAGGCGGCCUGCUGGGCAGUUUGCUGACACUGAGGCGCGACAGCGUGGGGAGCAACAGG
rnacentral:rRNA from 1 species